rnacentral:rRNA from 1 species
AUUGAACGCUGGCGGCAUGCUUUACACAUGCAAGUCGAACGGUAACAGGGUGCUUGCACCGCUGACGAGUGGCGAACGGGUGAGUAAUGCGUCGGAACGUGCCGAGUAGUGGGGGAUAACGCAGCGAAAGUUGUGCUAAUACCGCAUACGUACUGAGGUAGAAAGUGGGGGACCUUCGGGCCUCACGCUAUUCGAGCGGCCGACGUCUGAUUAGCUAGUAGGUGAGGUAAAGGCUCACCUAGGCGAGGAUCAGUAGCGGGUCUGAGAGGAUGAUCCGACACACUGGGACUGAGACACGGCCCAGACUCCUACGGGAGGCAGCAGUGGGGAAUUUUGGACAAUGGGCGAAAGCCUGAUCCAGCCAUGCCGCGUGUCUGAAGAAGGCCUUCGGGUUGUAAAGGACUUUUGUCAGGGAGGAAAUCCCUAGUGCUAAUAACACUGGGGGAUGACAGUACCUGAAGAAUAAGCACCGGCUAACUACGUGCCAGCAGCCGCGGUAA